rnacentral:lncRNA from 1 species
CGGAUGCGCUAUGAACGGCCACGAGUCCAACACAUGGAAACCCCCAUGUAGCACUCAUGACUUAGGCCCAAGUCCACUGUAAAUGGCCUUACGUCCGGGUCUUAUAUUUUCUCCCUCCUUAAAAUAAAAUUUGAUCUUCAAAAUUUGCAACUUUCAAGCUUGAAAGUAUUCCAUAUCACAAAUUUAUCAUUGCUAAAAUCAUUCUACUAAUUACAAACUCCAAUCACUAAUUUUUUUAUCACAACCAAUAGG